GGCUCAGGAUAAACGCUGGCGGCGUGCCUAACACAUGCAAGUCGAACGAAGAGGCCCCUUCGGGGGUACUUCAGUGGCGGACGGGUGAGUACAACAUAGGUGACCUACCCUAAAGCGGGGGAUAACAGUCCGAAAGGAUUGCUAAUACCCCAUGUGGUCAUUGAGGUUUGAGUCUUAAUGACUAAAGGAGUAAUCCGCUUUGGGAGGGGCCUGUGGCCCAUCAGCUAGUUGGCAGGGUAAUGGCCUACCAAGGCUACGACGGGUAGGGGGCCUGAGAGGGUGACCCCCCACAUUGGCACUGACACACGGGCCAAACUCCUACGGGAGGCAGCAGUGAGGAAUAUUGCACAACGAGCGAAAGCUUGAUGCAGCAACGCCGCGUGAGCGAUGAAGGCCUUCGGGUCGUAAAGCUCUUUUGAGGGAGACGAGAUAGGACGGUAUCUCUCGAAUAAGUCACGGCUAACUACGUGCCAGCAGCCGCGGUAAAACGUAGGUGGCGAGCGUUAUCCGGAUUCACUGGGCGUAAAGCGAGUGCAGGUGGCUUUGUAAGUUGGAUGUGAAAUUUCCCGGCUUAACCGGGAAGGGUCAUUCAAUACUGCGAGGCUUGAGGGCAAAAGAGGGGGGUGGAAUUGCCGGUGUAGUGGUGAAAUGCGUAGAUAUCGGCAGGAACACCUGUGGCGAAAGCGGCCCCCUGGUUUGCUCCCGACACUCAGACUCGAAAGCUAGGGUAGCGAACGGGAUUAGAAACCCCGGUAGUCCUAGCCGUAAACGAUGGAUGCUAGGUGUGAGUGGUAUUGACCCCAUUCGUGCCAAAGCCAACGCGUUAAGCAUCCCGCCUGGGGACUACGGCCGCAAGGUUAAAACUCAAAU
rnacentral:rRNA from 1 species